rnacentral:rRNA from 1 species
UACGGAGGGUGCAAACGUUGCUCGGAAUUAUUGGGCGUAAAGCGCACGUAGGCGGACCAUCAAGUCGGAUGUGAAAGCCCUUGGCUCAACUGAGGAAGUGCACCCGAAACUGAGUGGCUAGAGUACGAAAGAGGGUCGCGGAAUUCCCGGUGUAGAGGUGAAAUUCGUAGAUAUCGGGAGGAACACCGGUGGCGAAGGCGGCGACCUGGGUCGAUACUGACGCUGAUGCGCGAAAGCGUGGGGAGCAAACAGG